rnacentral:rRNA from 1 species
UACGUAGGGUGCGAGCGUUAAUCGGAAUGACUGGGCGUAAAGGGUGCGUAGGUGGUUUGCUAAGACGGAUGUGAAAUCCCUGGGCUCAACCUAGGAACAGCAUACGUGACUGGCAGGCUAGAGUAUCGAAGAGGGGGGUAGAAUUCCACGUGUAGCAGUGAAAUGCGUAGAGAUGUGGAGGAAUACCGAUGGCGAAGGCAGCCCCCUGGUCAGAUACUGACGCUGAGGCACGAAAGCGUGGGGAGCAAACAGG